rnacentral:rRNA from 1 species
AGGUUUGACGGAGGGAAGACUGUCUUUUUGGUUUAUAUUGAAUUUAACUUUUGUGUGAAAAGGCAUUAAUGGUUUAAAGGGACGAUAAGACCCUAUAAAACUUUAUAUAUUAUAUUAUUUAACUAAAGUGUUAUACUAAUUGUUAGAUAGUUAAUUGUAUUUUGCUGGGGCGGCAAAAAUAUAACUGUAACUGUUUAAGAUAUGAAAUAUUUGUUAAUAAAAAAUGGUCCUUUAUUAAGGAGAUAAGAGUAAGUUACUUUAGGGAUAACAGCAUAAUUUCUUUAGAGAGUUCUUAUCGAAGAAGUUAGUUGUGACCUCGAUGUUGAAUUAAAUUUUCCUUUAGGUGUAGGAGUUUUAGGGGA